ensembl:snRNA U6 U6 spliceosomal RNA
CUGCUCAACUUUGGCAGCACAUUUACCAAAAUUGGACUGAGACAGAGAAGAUUAACGUGGCCUCUGCACAGGAAGACCGUCAGAUUCCUACAGCUUUGU